GGAAAACUCAUCCACCAGAAAAUGAUCACUCUAGGCCUACAAGAAAACAUUGCCUUGUGCAAGAACCUUAUCAACCUCUACUUCUCUUGCCAAUACUAUGACCAUGCUAAACUUAUUUUCCAAGGGGUUGAGAACCCAUUAGACAUCUCCUUGUGGAAUGGCCUUUUGGCUGCUUACACCAAGAAUCAUAUGCACAUUGAAGCUCUUCAACUUUUUCAUAGAUUAUUGCGAUACCCUUUCUUGAAACCUGAUAGUUUUACCUACCCAAGUUUGCUAAAGGCUUGUGGUGGAUUAGGUAGAGAUAGUUAUGGGAGAGAGCUUCAUGCCCAUUUGAUAAAAUCUGGUUUUGUAUUUGAUAUUGUUAUUGCGAGCUCUCUGGUGGCGUUGUAUGCGAAGUGCAAUUUGUUUGUGUGUGCUAUACAGUUGUUUGACGAAAUGCCUGAAAGAGACGUGGCGAGUUGGAAUACUGUUAUUUCUUGUUAUUAUCAAUAUGGCGAUGCUAAGAAAGCGCUGGAACUGUUUGAUAAAAUGAGAGAGUCUGGGUUUGAGCCGAACUUAGUGACAUUGACGACUGUCAUCUCAUCAUGUGCAAGGCUUUUGGACUUAGAAAGAGGGAAAGAGAUUCAUAGGGAAAUGAUGAAAAGUGGGAAGGUGUUGGAUGGUUUUGUUAGUUCUGCUCUUGUAGACCUGUAUGGGAAAUGUGGCUGCUUAGAUAUAGCUAAAGACAUUUUUGAGCAGAUGCCAAAAAAGACAUUGGUUGCUUGGAAUUCUAUGAUUUCAGGAUACAGUUCAGUAGGUGAUAGCAGAGAAUGCAUUGAACUUUUUAAGAGAAUGAAUAUUGAAGGUACUAAACCAACUCUAACUACUUUAAGUAGCAUCUUAAUGGCAUGUUCAAGAGCAGCCCAACUUCGUCAUGGAAGAUUCUUGCAUGGAUAUGUGAUUAGAAACAGUAUCGAGGCUGAUAUUUUUGUUAAUAGUGGAUUAAUUGAUCUAUACUUCAAAUGUGGAAGAGUCCAGUCAGCUGAAAAUGUGUUUGAAAUGCUGCCGAGGGCAAAUGUAGUUUGUUGGAAUGUUAUGAUUUCUGGAUAUGUGACUGUAGGCAAUUAUUUUGAGGCACUUAACAUGUAUGAUGACAUGAAAGUAGCCGGUGUAAAACCAGAUGCUGUAACAUUCUCUAGUGUCUUAUCAGCUUGUUCACAAUUAGCAGCCUUAGAAAAGGGUAAGGAGAUCCAUAAUUGUAUCUCUGAGAGGGGAUUAGAAAGUAAUGAAAUUGUCAUGGGGGCUCUUCUUGACAUGUAUGCUAAAUGUGGUGCUGUUGAUGAAGCCUAUAAUGUUUUUAACAAGUUGCCAGAGAGGGAUCUUGUAUCAUGGACUUCAAUGAUUACUGCAUAUGGAUCUCAUGGCCAAGCUUUAGAAGCUCUGAGGCUUUUUGGUGAAAUGCAGCAAUCUAAUGCAAAACCAGAUGCAGUCACUUUCCUUGAAGUGUUGUCAGCUUGCAGCCAUGCUGGAUUGGUUGAUAAAGGGUAUUAUUAUUUCAAUCUGAUGACAGACAAAUAUGGAAUUAAUCCAAGAAUUGAGCACUACUCCUGCUUGAUUGAUCUUCUCGGGCGUGCUGGAAGAUUGCGUGAAGCUUAUAACAUUCUCCAUAACACUCGAGAAAUAACAGAGGAUGUUGGGUUGUUAAGCACACUAUUUUCUGCAUGUCAUUUGCAUAGAGAUUUAGAAUUGGGGGAGGAAAUUGCAAAGUUGCUUCUUAAGAAAGAUCCUGAUGAUCCGUCAACUUAUAUUACCUUAUCAAAUAUGUAUGCCUUUGUCAAGAAUUGGGAUAUGGUGCGCAGAGUGAGAUUACGGAUGAAAGAGCUAGGACUGAAGAAGAACCCUGGGUGUAGCUGGAUUGAGAUAGACAAGAGAAUCCAAUCUUUCUUUGUCAAAGGUCAGUCGCACCCUGAAGCAGAGGCGGUGCAUGACUGUCUUACAAUACUUACCAGUCACAUGGAAAAGGAUGAAAUGUUGCCUAGCAUAGAAGAAUCUACUGGUUUUCAAUUGGAAAGAUAAUCUUUUCAAAGACAUGACAUUUGCCAAGAAUUGGAUGUAAAAGAGCAGAGAUGGUGUACUCUUGCAACUUACACAAGUCACAUGGACAUGGGAAAAAGGAUAACAUGCAGCCCUCUUAAAACACACAUAAAGGAUAGUAAAAUUGGAAAAUAUUCUUUUCAAAGAGACGUGAGAUAUACCUAAGAAUUGGAUGAAAAUUUCUACCUCCAGUAAAAAUCUCAUCAAGGAGAAAUAUUGAAGCGUGUAUAAUUGUCAAGAUUUUUUACUUUAAAUGAAAUUAUUGUAGUCUUGUGUACAAGAAAAAU
rnacentral:misc_RNA from 1 species